GGGUGUGCGUGAGAUAUGAGAGGUCUCUUCUUUCUUAUAUCUAUCCUUUGUAUCUAUGCCUCCUCUUGUCUUCUCCACUUCAUGUUCACACCUAGAUCUGAUAGAGAUCAGAUCUAAGAGAGAAAAAUAGAGAGAAGAAGAUAAGAAGAAGGGUUCUUCUUCUCUUCAUGGUGAUCUGAUUCAGAUCCCGUCAGAUCUGUAUGAAAGAGUUUGCGCAGUAAUCUUC
rnacentral:lncRNA from 1 species